GGAGGGAGAGCCCGAGGGUCCUGUGUGCCAGCUCCGCGGAGGGAAGGGGGUGUUUUGUGUGUGUGGGGGGUGACGGGGGUGUAGCCCUUCCCUCCUUCUCUCCUCCCUCUUCUGCUCCCCCCCUCUCAGCCGCUUUCAGACCAUUGUUGUUGUGACUGCCAUCCGGGGAGCAGCAGAGCGCCUGUGUCGGGUCUGGUGCGCGGAGGACGGUUCGCUCCCCUCAGCGCAACUAAAGAGAAACGCACUGAGGAGGUCGAGCUUCUCUUCUCAGAAACCAGUGGAAAGAAACAACAAAAGUGCAAUAAAAAUAACUGAUCUGCAGUGAGAGGCUGUAAAGUCUCUGCGUAAAGACGCACGAAAAGACGCAUCCAGGAACGGCGCUCUGUGUGGACUCAUUGGAUCUUUUUAACUUAAGACGCUGAUUUUUUGUUGUCAUCUUCUGUGUUCAGUGCGCUGUUGUAAUCCGUGGAAUUAGCGGUGUAGGCCACGGACUUUGCCCCAAGGAUCACAUCUCCUCCAGCAAGUCUAUAUUCUCCAGUCGCCGGAGCUGCUUCGGAUGGAUUUACAACACUGACUUUUAACUUCCAUCGGAUAUAAACCAAAUCCUACUUUUUUGGAGAAAGAGAAGGACUGUUAAGUUUCAAAAUGAGAAUUUCAAUAUUCUCUCGUUUCGCCCGGGAACAGGAGUGAUUUUCUCCCGCGGUGCCAGUCAUCCUCAGGAGGACAGACCGGGAGGAAAAGGAUCCAGGUUGCCGAUGCCGAGGCGUUUGAGGGCCGCUCCAACUUUUUAAUCUCUACCACGUUGCUUCCUGAAGAUGGAGAGGGUCUGCUCUUUCUGGGUGCUGCUGAUCUGUUUGGUGGACGGAGUUGCAGUCAGAACGGUUGCAAAAACGAGAAAUAAAGAUAUUCAGGAGUCCAGGCCUCUGAUUGUGCCAGGUUACCCCAAGAACGCCACAGUGGAGUUGGGUGGUCAGGCGAAACUGCUGUGCAAAAUCCACAAGCCGGCGUUCACCAAAGUGCAGUGGCUGAAGUCUGAAUCCAGCGGCCAGCCUCAGAUCAGAGCUCUGACGGUGAGAUCGGGUCUUCAGACUCCAAAAAAACUCCUCAGAUUUCUACGUUUUCUGUG
rnacentral:lncRNA from 1 species